UAUUGGCCCAGCUGGAAAUGAGUAGGCUUAACGAGCAAAAACCAAGCCCUGGCUAGAGAAAUAUAAGUUAAUUAAAUUAAGGGUAGCUUCCCAGCAGAGAGAGAGAGAGAAACCAGGUAAAGGGAAGGCGAAAGUUUUAGCUUCUUCCUCUGCUAAGGAAACUUGAGCUGUGAGAAGAGGCUUUGUGACUUGGAAGAAACCUCCAUCCUCUGGGACUUGGAGAAGGCUGUGCUGGAAUCUGUGUGGAGGUUAAGAAAACUAUCCCUUUGGUUGUGGCCUGAGUUUAUUAUCUCAACCCCAAUGUUGCCCUGAAAUCUGUGUUCAAGAUUCAAGAAGAUUAGGACUGCUAAGAAACCUACAGUUGGAGAGACAAGAUCUCAAGGAAAUGGCAAGAUAUGGUCUACAUAACCACUUAAAUAUCAGUGGAAGAGCCAGCCCUGAUGGCCUAGUAGUUAGUUUGGCACACUCUGCUUUAGCUGCCUGGGGUUGGUUCCCAGGUGCAGAAUUACACCACUCAUCUGUCAGUGGUCAUGCUGUGGUGGUGGCUCACACAGAAGAAGCAGAAGAACUUACAACUACAUGCAACUAUGUACUGGGGCUUUGUGGGGAAAAAAGAAAAAAAAGGAGGAAAAUUGGCAACAGAUGCUGCUUAGGGCAAAUCUUCCCGUAAAAAAAAAAAAAAAAAAAAAUCAGUGGAAGAGAUUUAUAAUGAAAGUGAAAACUUGAGUUAGAUGUGUUGUUUGGCAAUGAGUUACAUAGGAAUAGAAAUAAGUAUUUCUAGCACUAUAAUCUCAAAAGACCAGAGAAAAAGUUGCAGAAUGCAUGGGAAUGCUGAAUCUUAAGAUACUGGCUGCCCAUGUUAUUUUCACCCAAACAACAUCCAUAUCCUCUCUUCCACUAAUAGCACAUAGAUUUUUACUGUGGUCAACAGCUCUUCCCACAUCAUAGCAGGAGGUAAAGCAAAAGUCCAUAGUGCACGUUCAGAAUAGACUGUUUAGAACUUCCAGGCACCUGGUUACUUUCUUUCUAAAGCCUUAUAGUCUGAAAGUCUACUCCAUGACCAUUCCUUAUAUAUGUUUUGUGGUUAGAUUAGUGAGGGUUAGGAUUUGUUAACUGCAAGCAACAGAAACCAUUAGAGGCUACGUUUGGAGUAAAGAAGGAAUAGCAGAAAGGCAAAGAAAUGAAAAAGUUACAGUGAGUAGAUCAGGCCAAUGAAGGGCAGAGUUUAUGCUCAAGAAUAGUAGAAGACAAGGUUUAAAAGGUUGGAUGGAGGUAGACU
rnacentral:lncRNA from 1 species